UACGAGGUGGCGAGACGUAUUGAAUUGAAUCUGGGCGUAAAGCGUGCGCAGGCGGUUCGUUGUGUCGGCGGUGAAAGCCCCGGGCUCAACCUGGGAAUGGCAUUUGUGACUGGAAGGCUAGAGUGUGUCAGAGGGGGGUAGAAUUCCACGUGUAGCAGUGAAAUGCGUAGAGAUGUGGAGGAAUACCGAUGGCGAAGGCAGCCCCCUGGGAUAACACUGAACGCUCAUGCACGAAAGCGUGGGGAGCAAACAGG
rnacentral:rRNA from 1 species